GACGAACGCUGGCGGCGUGCUUAACACAUGCAAGUCGAACGGUAAGGCCCCAGCUUGCUGGGGUACACGAGUGGCGAACGGGUGAGUAACACGUGGGUGACCUGCCCCGCACUUCGGGAUAAGCCUGGGAAACUGGGUCUAAUACCGGAUAGGACCGCACCGUGAGGGUGUGGUGGAAAGUUUUUCGGUGUGGGAUGGGCCCGCGGCCUAUCAGCUUGUUGGUGGGGUAAUGGCCUACCAAGGCGGCGACGGGUAGCCGGCCUGAGAGGGUGGACGGCCACAUUGGGACUGAGACACGGCCCAGACGCCUACGGGAGGCAGCAGUGGGGAAUAUUGCACAAGGGGCGGAAGCCUGAUGCAGCGACGCCGCGUGGGGGAUGACGGCCUUCGGGUUGUAAACUCCUUUCACCAUCGACGAAGGUUUUCUGACGGUAGAUGGAGAAGAAGCACCGGCUAACUACGUGC
rnacentral:rRNA from 1 species